AGCAUAAAUUUCUUUUCACAUUACUUCUUACUUUGAAGAUUGAUAUACAAAGAAACAGAGUGAAACAUGAAGAAUUUCUGACACUUAUUAAAGGUGGUGCUUCCCUAGACCUUAAAGCUUGUCCUCCUAAGCCAGCUAAGUGGAUUCUGGAUAUGACUUGGUUGAACUUGGUGGAGCUCAGUAAGCUUGAACAGUUUUCAGAUAUUCUUGAUCAAAUUUCCAGAGAAGAGAAACAGUGGAAAAUCUGGUUUGAUAGUAAGAAUCCCGAAGAAGAAUCGGCUCCUAGUGGCUAUGGUCA